rnacentral:rRNA from 1 species
GCUAUAUGCCAGCCAGUAUUCAAGUCAGAAUUUAGCCUUGCCUGAUUUGGGAAGCUAAGCAGGGCCUGUUUGUUCUUGGAUGGGAGAUCACCUGGAAGCACCAGGUGGAGCA